GCAGACGGUGGCAAGGGAGAUAGAUGGAGAUGAGCUGGUGAGGCGGAAGAGCUUUUUGAUUGAGGUUGACGAUCUACGACUGGGAAGCAAUUGGUCAUCAUGCCAUCUGAAAGGGAGCAGCUUGGAAGAAUGUUAGCCUUGAUACAGUUGCGAAGCAUUUUUUUUGCCCAGCAAUCAGAGCAGUUUGCUCCAGACAACAUGAGGUUGGCGGAACCCUUCUGUUUGUCAAUUAGUUCAGUAACCUGAGCUGUUUUAGUAGGGGGUUUCACAGUCUGGAUUGCGACCAACGAUCCAUGGCGGACUGUAGAUAUAUAUUUCACAUCCCUAUCUUUACCCUUAAAUUCAGCAAUUAUCGCAUUCUCUGAUCCAUCCCCAUGCAUAAGUGAAAGAAUACGUGAUCCUAGGAACCUGCAAAAAGGUGGCAGAUGAUGCAAAACUUAGGGGUACUCAUUAACUGGCUUCUUCGAAACUUGAAUACACGCAUGACCGGAGACCACAACUGGGACGACAUUUUAGAACUACCAAGAGAGA
rnacentral:sRNA from 2 species